rnacentral:sRNA from 1 species
AUGGAGGAUCCAGUUAUCAGCGAAGAGAGUAAUAUUUCAUCGUCAGAAACCCCGGCAACUCCAACAGACAGCCAAGAGGCAGCUUCCAGUCAACCGGCUCCAAUUUCAUCGCGACGCGAGACCGUGAACCGGAAUGUUUAUAUUAUGCUUGACGUAAAUCAUCGCAAGGUAAGUGAUAAUCGAUUAAUUCAAAAAUAAUCAUGAAAAUUCCACUCCAGGUCGAGCCAAAAGACAUCAUCGAGUACGAAUGGCCUGUAAAAUCCGGAGAUCGAUGGUUUUUGCAAGAACAAAUCGGAGAACUGCUCGAUAUUAAGUCUUUCUCCAGAAAAUACCCGGAUUUUACACGCCGGAAGGUUAACCACGAGGAACGCGAGUUUUUGGAGUGGAAUUUCAACGUUCACAAGCUUCUCAACGAGACAUGUAUGUGCCGGAGCUCAGCGUCGUCCCUAAAAAUGACUAUUUCUGCUAAAAGCUUCGAUUGUGCUGAGAUACACUGAAAAUUGAAUUUUGAUGUGAUUUUUUGUGAAAAUCCGGUCAUUUUCUGACAUUUUUCAACGAUUUGUCAAAAAAUUGUGUCUAUUUAACAGUUUUGCCAAUUUUUUUGACGAUUUUCCAAAAUUUCGUGUAUUUUUCUCUAAAAUUAAGAAUUUCAGUCUAACUUAAAAUAUGUCGAUUUUUCUCGAACAAUUUUCAAAAAACGCCGGAAAUUGCCGAUAUAUUUUUCACUAAAAAAUCCUCAAAAAUUGUCAAAAAAUUACCAAUUUUUCACCAAAAAAUCCUCAAAAAUUGUCGAAAAAUUACCAAUUUUUCACCAAAAAAUCCUCAAAAAUUGUCGAAAAAUUACCAAUUUUUCACCAAAAAAUCCUCAAAAAUUGUCAAAAAAUUACCAAUUUUUCACCAAAAAAUCCUCAAAAAUUGUCGAAAAAUUACCAAUUUUUCUCCAAAAAAUCCUCAAAAAUUGUCAAAAAAUAGCCGAAUUUUCACCAAAAAAUCCUCAAAAAUUGUCGAAAAAUUAUCAAUUUUUCAGCAAAAAAAUCCUCAAAAAUUGUCGAAAAAUGACCUAAUUUUCACAAAAAAUCCUCAUAAAUGCGAGCAAAACACCGUUAAUAAAUAAUUUUUUUGCACUCAAUUUAUCGAUUUUUUCAGUGCUCCGCGACAUGAACGCAAUGCGUGCCAGCGAAAUUCACGAUAUGAUGCAGUCAGACUUUGGAGACAUCUACAUGGAAUACAAAAAGGUCGUGAGCCAGCGAGAACGAGAAGCUCAGCUGGAAAAAGCCAAGGAAAUGGAGGCGAUUAAGAAUGAUUCGGUGAAGCUCGCCGAGCUCCGACGGAAAGCCGUUCAAAAUGCUGUCGAUUUUAAUAAAGACAUUCAAAAUCAGCGGCGGAACGAGCGGAAACACUUUUGGGAUAUUCAGACUAAUGUGAUUAUUUUUAUUGAUUUUUUCUAAAAAAAAAAAGGAAAAAAUUGAUUUUUUACUGAAAAUUCGGUCGUUUUUCGACAAUUUUUGAAGAUUUUUGUGAAUAUUCGGCCAUUUUUCUGCAAUUUUUGAGGAUGUUUUGUGAAAAUUCGGCCAUUUGUCGACAAUUUUGAGGAUUUUUUAAAUGCAAAUUCGGUCAUUUUUCGACAAUUUUUGAGUAUUUUUCGCCAAUUAAAAAAAAAAUUUUCUGAAAAUUCGGCCAUUUUUCGAGAUUUUUUGCCGAAUUUUCACAAAAAAGUACCUUAAAAAUUGUCGAAAAAUGGCAAAAUUUCCACAAUAAAUGCCUUAAAAAUUGUCGAAAAAUUACCGAUUUUUCACAGAAAAAAACUCAAAAAUUGUCGAAAAUUGACCAAAUUUUCAGAAAAAAAAAUCCUUAAAAAUCGUCGAAAAAUGACCAAAUUUUUACAAAAAAUUCCUUAAAAAUUGUCGAAAAUAACCAAAUUUUUCACAAAAAAAAACUCAAAGAUCUUCGAAAAAUGGUCGUAUUUUCACAGGAAAAACCUCGAAAAUCGUCAAAAAAUGUCCAAAUUUUCACCAAAAAAAAAAAAAAAUAGUCAAAAAAUGGCUGAAUUUUCACAACAAAAUCCUCAAAAAUUGUCGAAAAAUUACCGAAUUUUCACAUAAAAAACCUCGAAAAUUGUCGGAAAAUGACCAAAUUUUCACCAAAAAAUCUUCGAAAAUUGUCGAAAAAUGAUCGAUUUUUCACAGAAAUAUCCUCAAAAAUUGUCGAAAAUUGACCAAAUUUUCAGAAAAAAAAAUCCUUAAAAAUCGUCGAAAAAUGACCAAAUUUUUACAAAAAAUUCCUUAAAAAUUGUCGAAAAUAACCAAAUUUUUCACAAAAAAAAACUCAAAGAUCUUCGAAAAAUGGUCGUAUUUUCACAGGAAAAACCUCGAAAAUCGUCAAAAAAUGUCCAAAUUUUCACCAAAAAAAAAAAAAAAUAGUCAAAAAAUGGCUGAAUUUUCACAACAAAAUCCUCAAAAAUUGUCGAAAAAUUACCGAAUUUUCACAUAAAAAACCUCGAAAAUUGUCGGAAAAUGACCAAAUUUUCACCAAAAAAUCUUCGAAAAUUGUCGAAAAAUGAUCGAUUUUUCACAGAAAUAUCCUCAAAAAUCAUCGGAAAAUUACCGUAUUUUCACAAAAAAAAGUGUUCUAAAUAAAUAAUUUUUCAGAUCAUUCAAUCCCGUCGAAAUUCGUGGAAAGUAAUGAAACCAGAAGCCACCAGACCGGGGCCAUACCCGGUAGCACUAAUUCCCGGACAAUAUCAACAUUAUUUCAAGAAAUUCAGUUCAGAAGAGCUUAAUCGUUUGCCUCUGGGAACCGUCAUCGAGUCAUCCCACCUCUAUCCAGCAGUCCGUGAGCCAUCACCCCCACCGUUGAACAUUGCCGAGCAGGAUUUGGUACGAUUCGAGAGGGAAGAAGCCAUGAGAGCUCGGGAAGCAACUCUCAACACGACGCCACAAUCGUCAAUGGCUCAGAUUAAACAGG